UACGGAGGGUGCAAGCGUUGUUCGGAAUCACUGGGCGUAAAGCGCACGUAGGCGGAUUUGUAAGUCAGGGGUGAAAUCCCGGGGCUCAACCUCGGAACUGCCUUUGAUACUGCGAAUCUUGAGUCCGAUAGAGGUGGGUGGAAUUCCCAGUGUAGAGGUGAAAUUCGUAGAUAUUGGGAAGAACACCAGUGGCGAAGGCGGCUAACUGGUCCGGAUCUGACGCUGAGGUGCGAAAGCGUGGGGAGCAAACAGG
rnacentral:rRNA from 1 species